UAAAGGGGAAACAGCCCACCAGUGUUGCACAUAGAGUGACAACAUCUUGAGGAAGAUUUGGCGUUAAAAGAUGAAGGUCUAGGAAGAACAGAAUACAACAGCCUGAGUUUUAGCUGAGCAUAUGGCUAUCCACUUACAGACUACAUUUCCCAAUGUCCCCUGUGGCUAAAUAUGGACAUGUGACUAAAUCCAGAUCAAUAAGAUGUGAGAAGUGAUAUGAGUGACUUCUGGGCCAUCUCUUUGGAGUGCUUGUCCUGGACAAUCUUUAUCCUCACAGGCUGAAACAUGGGUGUGGGGAGUCAGUUAUGGGAUAAUGGAACAUCCAGAGAGAAGGAACCAUAUUUUGGAUAAUGUUGUGGAUCAGAGCUAUCCUGCCAUGCUUGGGCUUCUCACCUGUGGAUUGUUUUUUGUAAACAAAAUAAUGUUGCAACCUUGAACUGCAAAAUGAAGAUUGUUCAGCACAGUUCAAAUCAGGAAAUUACAUCUGAUUGUUGUCUGCUGGCUCCCUCAAACUCUACCUGUGUCAGAAUUCUGCCCCGGCAGGUGUGAGAGAAAAUAGAUGCAGAACUCAAGUGAAUAUUCACAUCUGUUUUUGGAAAAAAGGAACAGAAGCAGCACAGAAGGAAGUAAAAGAGAUAAUUGCUGGCUUGAACAACAAUACAUUUUACUUGUGGGCAGAGGGCCAGCUUACAGCAGGCGGACUACGCAGGCCCAUCUUAUUGGAAUUCAGGGGUGGGCCUCCAUUCUUGUCCGGAGACAGCUGUAAACCAGCAGCCCAUAGCAUCACAAUCAGGCACGGAGUUUUGUCGAGGAAUGCUGAUAUGGACAGAAGCAGCUUUGUCUCUUUCGACUGCACCCCGCCUGGUGAAAUGACAGUCAAUCUCUGAUUCCAGAUGACAAGAACUGGAUAAAAACUUACAAACAAAUGGCGACCUUUCGAGAGAUUAAUUUGUUUACCAACAAAAUGUUCCCUCUUUGUCAUCUGAGAUGGGGGUGACCUUCACUUUCCCACAUCUAGGCUGAAAGGAUGCUGACUAUAGUCAUCUGUUAAGUUAACUCCAUCUCAGCAAUUAUUCCCUUUUUUAUUUUUAGUGACAAGAAGGGUUUAUUAAUUCACUCUGCUUCUUGUUAUGGUUUAUAAAUGCAACAAGCUCAUUCUGAAUUACUGCCGUGUAACAUCAAUUUGUUUAAAUCUAAUUCUGCUACCGUUGCCAAAUUAUGUUGUGACUGUAAUUGGGGCCAUAUGCAUGGGCUUAAAACACAAUCAUGUUUCAAAAUCAUCCUUCGCCCCCCCUUCCCCUCCCCCCGAUACCCCCACCUCUUACUUCUAGUGCUUCUUCUAAUCAUUUGACAUUAACACAAUUGCCUCACUUUCCAUUACUUUAGCAUUGCAGCGAUGAACGUCCUUUCAGUGAGAGAGAGUACUAUGCACACCCCAAGUGAAACAGUAAAGAAUGAAACUAUGAUUUGUGAAGUGUGGUUGCUACCCAACUAAGUUGGUAAAAAACACUGCAUAACAUAUGACUCAUAAAAUCUAGAAAUCAUAAUAGUAUUAAAUUCAACCUCAUGAAUAAAUAAAAGACUCUAAGUUUACAUUGCAUUAUAUAUUUAUUUAUUUGGAAAGUGGGACCAAAGCACUGGUAUAAUUCUACAGCAACUCGUAUGUUGCCAGAAAGAAAAUGGUUUUAUGAUUCUUUUCUAGGUCAUAACGGUUAUAAUCAGAGUUAUUUGUGCAGCAUUUCAAAGCAAUGUUUUGUUUGGCUAUUUUGUUAUGCAUCCAUAAUCGUUCUUUUAAAAUUCAUGUUAACAGAUACAUGUUUCAAGCCUUUUAAGAAACCCUUUUUAUUAAAAAGAAAUA